CAGACUGGGUGUCAUCUCUUUCUGAUCUGAACAGGAAUUUGGACUGGAAGCAUUUUUUCAAUGGCCCCUGAAAUCUGGAUCAUUUAGGGAAGAACAAAGAGGAUGAGGAGGACAGAAGAAGAGGUGGAGAAACAGGGACAAGGAGAAGGAAAGUAAGAGGAGCAGGAGGAAGGAGAAAGAGAAGCAGAAGAGAUAAAACAGGCAGAAGCUAUCUUAAUAUGAGGAAAGGCAAAACAUCAUAAAAAAUUCAUCAGUGUAAUUGAACAUGUCUCUGCCUGGAAAUAUUUCAAACAGUCACUCUUAAUU
rnacentral:lncRNA from 1 species